rnacentral:rRNA from 1 species
UUAAGCGACUAAGCGUACACGGUGGAUGCCCUGGCAGUCAGAGGCGAUGAAGGACGUGCUAAUCUGCGAAAAGCGUCGGUAAGGUGAUAUGAACCGUUAUAACCGGCGAUGUCCGAAUGGGGAAACCCAGUGCAAUUCGUUGCACUAUCGUUAACUGAAUACAUAGGUUAACGAGGCGAACCGGGGGAACUGAAACAUCUAAGUACCCCGAGGAAAAGAAAUCAACCGAGAUUCCCCCAGUAGCGGCGAGCGAACGGGGAGCAGCCCAGAGUCUGAAUCAGCUUGUGUGUUAGUGGAACGGUCUGGAAAGUCCGACGGUACAGGGUGAUAGUCCCGUACACCAAAAUGCACAGGCUGUGAACUCGAAGAGUAGGGCGGGACACGUGGUAUCCUGUCUGAAUAUGGGGGGACCAUCCUCCAAGGCUAAAUACUCCUGACUGACCGAUAGUGAACCAGUACCGUGAGGGAAAGGCGAAAAGAACCCCGGCGAGGGGAGUGAAAAAGAACCUGAAACCGUGUACGUACAAGCAGUGGGAGCACCUUCGGGUGUGACUGCGUACCUUUUGUAUAAUGGGUCAGCGACUUAUAUUCUGUAGCAAGGUUAACCGUAUAGGGGAGCCGCAGGGAAACCGAGUCUUAACUGGGCGUUAAGUUGCAGGGUAUAGACCCGAAACCCGGUGAUCUAGCCAUGGGCAGGUUGAAGGUUGGGUAACACUAACUGGAGGACCGAACCGACUAAUGUUGAAAAAUUAGCGGAUGACUUGUGGCUGGGGGUGAAAGGCCAAUCAAACCGGGAGAUAGCUGGUUCUCCCCGAAAGCUAUUUAGGUAGCGCCUCGUGAACUCAUCUUCGGGGGUAGAGCACUGUUUCGGCUAGGGGGUCAUCCCGACUUACCAACCCGAUGCAAACUACGAAUACCGAAGAAUGUUAUCACGGGAGACACACGGCGGGUGCUAACGUCCGUCGUGAAGAGGGAAACAACCCAGACCGCCAGCUAAGGUCCCAAAGUCAUGGUUAAGUGGGAAACGAUGUGGGAAGGCACAGACAGCCAGGAUGUUGGCUUAGAAGCAGCCAUCAUUUAAAGAAAGCGUAAUAGCUCACUGGUCGAGUCGGCCUGCGCGGAAGAUGUAACGGGGCUAAACCAUGCACCGAAGCUGCGGCAGCGACACUAUGUGUUGUUGGGUAGGGGAGCGUUCUGUAAGCCUGCGAAGGUGACCUGUGAGGGUUGCUGGAGGUAUCAGAAGUGCGAAUGCUGACAUAAGUAACGAUAAAGCGGGUGAAAAGCCCGCUCGCCGGAAGACCAAGGGUUCCUGUCCAACGUUAAUCGGGGCAGGGUGAGUCGACCCCUAAGGCGAGGCCGAAAGGCGUAGUCGAUGGGAAACAGGUUAAUAUUCCUGUACUUGGUGUUACUGCGAAGGGGGGACGGAGAAGGCUAUGUUAGCCGGGCGACGGUUGUCCCGGUUUAAGCAUGUAGGCUGGUUGUCCAGGCAAAUCCGGAUAAUCAAGGCUGAGGUGUGAUGACGAGGCACUACGGUGCUGAAGUAACAAAUGCCCUGCUUCCAGGAAAAGCCUCUAAGCAUCAGGUAACAUCAAAUCGUACCCCAAACCGACACAGGUGGUCAGGUAGAGAAUACCAAGGCGCUUGAGAGAACUCGGGUGAAGGAACUAGGCAAAAUGGUGCCGUAACUUCGGGAGAAGGCACGCUGGUGUGUAGGUGAAGCCCCUGCGGGUGGAGCUGAGACCAGUCGAAGAUACCAGCUGGCUGCAACUGUUUAUUAAAAACACAGCACUGUGCAAACACGAAAGUGGACGUAUACGGUGUGACGCCUGCCCGGUGCCGGAAGGUUAAUUGAUGGGGUUAUCCGUAAGGAGAAGCUCUUGAUCGAAGCCCCGGUAAACGGCGGCCGUAACUAUAACGGUCCUAAGGUAGCGAAAUUCCUUGUCGGGUAAGUUCCGACCUGCACGAAUGGCGUAAUGAUGGCCAGGCUGUCUCCACCCGAGACUCAGUGAAAUUGAACUCGCUGUGAAGAUGCAGUGUACCCGCGGCAAGACGGAAAGACCCCGUGAACCUUUACUAUAGCUUGACACUGAACAUUGAGCCUUGAUGUGUAGGAUAGGUGGGAGGCUUUGAAGCGUGGACGCCAGUCUGCGUGGAGCCAACCUUGAAAUACCACCCUUUAAUGUUUGAUGUUCUAACGUUGGCCCCUUACCGGGGUUGCGGACAGUGUCUGGUGGGUAGUUUGACUGGGGCGGUCUCCUCCCAAAGCGUAACGGAGGAGCACGAAGGUUAGCUAAUCCUGGUCGGACAUCAGGAGGUUAGUGCAAUGGCAUAAGCUAGCUUGACUGCGAGCGUGACGGCGCGAGCAGGUGCGAAAGCAGGUCAUAGUGAUCCGGUGGUUCUGAAUGGAAGGGCCAUCGCUCAACGGAUAAAAGGUACUCCGGGGAUAACAGGCUGAUACCGCCCAAGAGUUCAUAUCGACGGCGGUGUUUGGCACCUCGAUGUCGGCUCAUCACAUCCUGGGGCUGAAGUAGGUCCCAAGGGUAUGGCUGUUCGCCAUUUAAAGUGGUACGCGAGCUGGGUUUAGAACGUCGUGAGACAGUUCGGUCCCUAUCUGCCGUGGGCGCUGGAGAAUUGAGGGGGGCUGCUCCUAGUACGAGAGGACCGGAGUGGACGCAUCACUGGUGUUCGGGUUGUCAUGCCAAUGGCACUGCCCGGUAGCUAAAUGCGGAAGAGAUAAGUGCUGAAAGCAUCUAAGCACGAAACUUGCCCCGAGAUGAGUUCUCCCUGAGACUUUAAGUCUCCUGAAGGAACGUUGAAGACGACGACGUUGAUAGGCCGGGUGUGUAAGCGCAGCGAUGCGUUGAGCUAACCGGUACUAAUGAACCGUGAGGCUUAACCUU